rnacentral:rRNA from 1 species
UACGUAGGGUGCAAGCGUUAUCCGGAAUUAUUGGGCGUAAAGAGCUCGUAGGCGGUCUGUCGCGUCUGCCGUGAAAACCCGAGGCUUAACCUCGUGGCUUGCGGUGGAUACGGGCAGACUAGAGGUAGGUAGGGGAGAAUGGAAUUCCCGGUGUAGCGGUGAAAUGCGCAGAUAUCGGGAGGAACACCGGUGGCGAAGGCGGUUCUCUGGGCCUUACCUGACGCUGAGGAGCGAAAGCGUGGGGAGCGAACAGG